rnacentral:lncRNA from 1 species
GGGGGGGCAAGAGGAAAGAUGGAGGGAGAAUGUACAUUAAGCACACUCUUAGAAAAAAGGGUCCCAAAAGGGUUCUUUGGCUGUCCCUGUAGGAUAAACCUUUUUUAGUUCCAUGUAGACCCCAGUACCUGGAACUAAAAGGGUUCUACCUGCAACCGCAAAUGGUUCUUCAAAUGGUUAUCCUAUGGGGACAGCUGAAGAACCCUUUAAGAUUAUAGAUAGCACCUUUUUUUCUAACAGCAUACCACCAAACCAAAGGGAGAGAAAUGUAAUAGGAGGGGAGAGAAAGAGGGCAGAAAGGACAUGGGGAGGAAGAAGGGAGGAGGGGAGAGAAAGAGGGCAGAAAGGACAUGGGGAGGAAGAAGGGAGGAGGGGAGAGAAAGAGGGCAGAAAGGUAUGGGGAGGAAGAAAGGGAAAGGAACGUCAUCACCAAUUAGGACGGCAGGGAGUGAGCUGGCUGGUGUGUUUGAACUGCCAGAGCCCUGGGCCCAUUAGCUGUACUAAUGCAGCGUUUGGAGGGAGGGAAACCGAGCCCCCAGAAAACCUUUUAAUGUCUGCCAUAACUCCUUUACCAUGUGGAACAUCCAGAGCCUUUUUAGCAUGUCUGCUGUAUGCAUUUGGAACUGAGCCAGAUAACUGUGCCACCCCA